rnacentral:tRNA from 1 species
GACUUAAAAUUCGUUGGCUUUAUAAACCGUGAGGUCGAGUCCCUCUACCCCCA